rnacentral:rRNA from 1 species
AUGUCGAAGCUGCAGCUGCCGGCGGACGACAGCGUGGCGCUGCGCGUCACGCACUCCAACCUCGCCUCCUUCGCCUCCGACAUCCGCGUCUCGCAGCAGGUACGCGCCACCAACCCACCUGCUCUCGCUCGGAUCUCGCCUCCAGCUUGGAUCUCAUCUCUAAUGGCGGCGGGGGUGGGUGUGUCCGCUCUGCUCUGCUCGCAGACCACCGUGGAGGCGCUCAAGGAGAAGCUGUGGAAGAAGACGGGCACGGCCGUGGGCUCCAUGCGGCUGGAGCUCCGCGACGAGGCCGGCGCCAGGGUCGCCGACCUCGACCGCGACGCCGCGCCCCUCGCCGCCUACUCCCCCUACGACGGGUACCGGCUGCACAUCAUCGACCUCGACCCCUCGUCGGUGACCUCCGGCGGGUGGCUGGAGGACACCUCGCUCGUCGAGAAGUACACCAUAUCGGACGAAGCGUAUGACAAGCUCGGCACAAACUUCCGGAAGUUCAAAGAGAAAAUGGUGUCGAAAAACCCUGUAUCGGACGAUAAGCAAUCAGACAAUCAUAUGGAGGAAUUGUGUGCCAACAUCAAGGUGGGAGACAGAUGUGAAGUGGAGCCAGGUGCCAAGAGGGGCACCGUGAAAUUCGUUGGCAGAGCUGAAGCCCUUGGGCGUGGAUUUUGGGUUGGCGUGCAAUAUGAUGAGCCACUUGGAAAGCACGAUGGCAUGGUGAAAGGAGUUCGCUUCUUCGAGUGCCCUCAAGGGCAUGGAGCGAUUGUUAGGCCAGAGAAAGUGAAGGUUGGCAACUUCCCGGAAAGGGACCCAUUUGAUGAUGAAGACGAGAUAUAG